rnacentral:rRNA from 1 species
CAGCACCCCGAGUGGUCGGGACGAUUAUUGGGCCUAAAGCAUCCGUAGCCGGCCUUACAAGUCCUCCGUUAAAUCCAACUGCUUAACAGAUGGGCCGCGGAGGAUACUAUAAGACUAGGAGGCAGGAGAGGCAAGCGGUACUCAGUGGGUAGGGGUAAAAUCCGUUGAUCCAUUGAAGACCACCAGUGGCGAAGGCGGCUUGCCAGAAUGCGCUCGACGGUGAGGGAUGAAAGCUGGGGGAGCAAACCGGAUUAGAUACCCGGGUAGUCCCAGCUGUAAACGAUGCAGACUCGGUGAUGGACCAGCUUAAUGCUAGUCCAGUGCCGCAGGGAAGCCGUUAAGUCUGCCGCCUGGGUAGUACGGUCGCAAGACUGAA